rnacentral:rRNA from 1 species
AACGAACGCUGGCGGCAGGCCUAACACAUGCAAGUCGAACGCCCUAGCAAUAGGGAGUGGCAGACGGGUGAGUAACACGUGGGAACCUUCCCUAUAGUACGGAAUAGCCCAGGGAAACUUGGAGUAAUACCGUAUACGCCCGAGAGGGGAAAGAUUUAUCGCUAUAGGAUGGGCCCGCGUCGGAUUAGCUAGUUGGUGAGGUAACGGCUCACCAAGGCAACGAUCCGUAGCUGGUUUGAGAGAAUGACCAGCCACACUGGGACUGAGACACGGCCCAGACUCCUACGGGAGGCAGCAGUGGGGAAUCUUGGACAAUGGGCGCAAGCCUGAUCCAGCCAUGCCGCGUGAGUGAAGAAGGUCUUCGGAUUGUAAAGCUCUUUUGCCAGGGACGAUAAUGACGGUACCUGGAGAAUAAGCCCCGGCAAACUUCGUGCCAGCCGCCGCCGUAA